GACGAACGCUGGCGGCGUGCUUAACACAUGCAAGUCGAACGGAGUGGCGAACGGGUGAGUAACACGUGGGUGAUCUGCCUUGCACUUCGGGAUUAGCUUGGGCAACUCGUUCUAAUACUUGAUAGUGCAAGAUGAGCACGCGGCCUAUCAGCUUGUUGGUGGGGUAAUGGCCUACCAAGGCGUCGACGGGUAGCCGGCCUGAGAGGGGGUACGGCAACAUUGGGACUGAGAUACGGCCCAGACUCCGACGGGAGGCAGCAGUGGGGAAUAUUGCACAAUGGGCGGAAGCCUGAGGCAGCAAGGCAGCGUGGGGGAUGAAGGACUUCGGGUUGUAAACUCCAUUCGACAGGGACGCGGUACCUGUAUAAGAAGCACCGGCUAACUACGUGCCAGCAGCCGCGGUAAUAC
rnacentral:rRNA from 1 species